CACGUAGGGCGCAAGCGUUGUCCGGAAUUAUUGGGCGUAAAGAGCUCGUAGGUGGUUUGCUGCGUCCGCUGUGAAAACCCAAGGCUUAACCUUGGGCUUGCAGUGGAUACGGGCAGACUAGAGGUAGGGAGGGGAGAAUGGAAUUCCCGGUGUAGCGGUGAAAUGCGCAGAUAUCGGGAGGAACACCGGUGGCGAAGGCGGUUCUCUGGGCCUUACCUGACACUGAGGAGCGAAAGCGUGGGGAGCGAACAGG
rnacentral:rRNA from 1 species